rnacentral:rRNA from 1 species
GGAGUCCGAUUAAGCCAUGCGAGUCGAGAGAAUAAGAUUCUCGGCAUACCGCUCAGUAACACGUGGAUAACUGCCCUGUGCUGGGGGAUAACCUCGCGAAAGUGAGAACAAUACCCCAUGGGUCACUAUGCCUGGAACGGUUAGUGGCUGAAAGCUCCGGCGGCACAGGAUGGGUCUGCGGCGUAUCAGGUCGUAGGGGGUGUAACGUACCUCCUAGCCUUCGACGCGUACGGGUUGUGAGAGCAAUUGCCCGGAGAUGGAUUCUGAGACACGAAUCCAGGCCCUACGGGGCGCAGCAGGCGCGAAAACUUGACAAUGCGAGAAAUCGUGAUCAGGGGACUCCAGUUGGCUGGAUCAAAAGUCCAGUCUGAACCGACUUUAAAUCGGUCGGGUAAUAGGGGCGGGAAAGACCGGUGCCAGCCGCCGCGGUAAUACCGGCGCCCCAAGUGGUCGUCACUAUUAAUGGGCCUAAAACGUCCGUAGCCGGUUUGGUAAAUCCGUGGGUAAAUCAGACAGCCUAACUGUCUGAAUUCUGCGGGGACUGCCAGACUUGAGACCGGGAGAGGUGCGGGGUACCUGCGGGGUACCGGUAAAAUGGGAUCAUCCCGUAGAGACCACCUGUUGCGAAGGCGCCGCACUAGAACGGAUCUGACGGUCAGGGACGAAGCCUAGGGGCACGAACCGGAUUAGAUACCCGGGUAGUCCUAGGUGUAAACGCUGUGGACUUGGUGUUGGGGAUUCUCAGAGGAUUCUCAGUGCCGAAGCGAAGUGAUAAGUCCACUGCCUGGGGAGU